rnacentral:rRNA from 1 species
UCCCGAUCACACAAAGUCCGUAGGUGAACCUGCGG